AAUGAGAGUUCAAAACAUAUUGUAUAUUUACUUUCCUGAAGUACAUUUAAGCAUCUAUUUAGUAAAAAGUUUCCUCCUUCCAAAGCACCAAACAAACUUUGGGUUAAUUAAGCAGUUUUGGUGUGUGUGUGUAUACUACUAUUCCACUAUUAUUUAUAUAGCGCCAUCAGAUUCCGUAGCGCUGUACAAUGGGUGGACUAACAAACAUGUAAUUAU